rnacentral:lncRNA from 1 species
GAUGGUUAAGGGUAGAUUAUUUGUUGUAAAAAUUUUCACUUUUUUUAUUCUUUACUUGUCAUUUGACAGCGACGUUGUUUUUUCUCCGGUUUUGAAGUUUUCACGUCCUUGUGUUGUGAUUGUGUUCCCUUAUUUUCUUUAUGUCAGUGUUUUCCAACAAAUGUAUUCUGUAAGAAUAAAGGGUUUCUUGAAUUUUCUAUUAUUACCCUUUUAUAAAACUACCUUAUUU